rnacentral:rRNA from 1 species
ACACGACCGUACCGCAAACCGACACUGGUGCGCGAGAUGAGUAUUCUAAGGCGCUUGAGAGAACUCAGGAGAAGGAACUCGGCAAAUUGACACCGUAACUUCGGAAGAAGGUGUGCCUUUAGUAGGUGAGGGGAUUUACUCCCGGAGCCCAAUGAGGUUGCAAAAAAUCGGUGGCUGCGACUGUUUAAUAAAAACACAGCACUCUGCAAACACGAAAGUGGACGUAUAGGGUGUGACGCCUGCCCGGUGCUGGAAGAUUAAAUGAUGGGGUGCAAGCUCUUGAUUGAAGUCCCAGUAAACGGCGGCCGUAACAAUAACGGUCCUAAGGUAGCGAAAUUCCUUGUCGGGUAAGUUCCGACCUGCACGAAUGGCGUAACGAUGGCCACACUGUCUCCUCCUGAGACUCAGCGAAGUUGAAAUGUUUGUGAUGAUGCAAUCUCCCCGCGGAAAGACGGAAAGACCCCAUGAACCUUUACUGUAGCUUUGUAUUGGACUUUGAACAGAUCUGUGUAGGAUAGGUGGGAGGCUUUGAAGCAGGGUCGCUAGAUCUUGUGGAGCCAACGUUGAAAUACCACCCUGGUGUGUUUGAGGUUCUAACCUAGGUCCAUUAUCUGGAUCGGGGACAGUGCAUGGUAGGCAGUUUGACUGGGGCGGUCUCCUCCCAAAGCGUAACGGAGGAGUUCGAAGGUACGCUAGGUACGGUCGGACAUCGUGCUAAUAGUGCAAUGGCAUAAGCGUGCUUAACUGCGAGACUGACAAGUCGAGCAGAUGCGAAAGCAGGACAUAGUGAUCCGGUGGUUCUGUAUGGAAGGGCCAUCGCUCAACGGAUAAAAGGUACUCUGGGGAUAACAGGCUGAUACCGCCCAAGAGUUCAUAUCGACGGCGGUGUUUGGCACCUCGAUGUCGGCUCAUCUCAUCCUGGGGCUGUAGCCGGUCCCAAGGGUAUGGCUGUUCGCCAUUUAAAGAGGUACGUGAGCUGGGUUUAAAACGUCGUGAGACAGUUUGGUCCCUAUCUUCCGUGGGCGCUGCAGAUUUGAGGAAGCCUGCUCCUAGUACGAGAGGACCGGAGUGGACACACCUCUGGUGUAUCGGUUGUCACGCCAGUGGCAUUGCCGAGUAGCUAAGUGUGGAAGAGAUAACCGCUGAAAGCAUCUAAGCGGGAAACUCGUUUCAAGAUGAGAUCUGCCGGGGCCUUGAGCCCCCUAAAGAGUCGUUCAAGACCAGGACGUUGAUAGGUCAGGUGUGGAAGCGCAGUAAUGCGUUAAGCUAACUGAUACUAAUUGCUCGUGCGGCUUGAUC